rnacentral:lncRNA from 1 species
UUAUAUUGUUUCCGGAGGCAUUAUUCUUAAAUCCUUCUUUGAUCAAAUUUGUAGGAGGCUGCAGUUGUUCCUCCCUAUAUUGCCUUCGCCACGAGACAGAAUCCUGGAUUCUGGGAAUAUGUGAAAGUCAAUGCUAAUGAUCUUUCUGUUGAGGGUAUUACAGCUACAGAUUACUUGAAAUUCAAGGAAAUGAUAGUUGAUGAAAGCUGGUAUAGAAUACUUUGCAGCUUAUCAUACCUUUUGUGGUUUUAUAAUUUCAAUCAGAAAACUCAUCAGAGUUACCUUUGUGUGAACAUGACAUGCAGGGCAAAAGAUGAAUAUGCACUGGAAAUUGAUUUUGGAG